UUUAUAUUUACUCUCCGAGCCAAACAGCCUAAGGUCUAAAGCUAUGGUUCUUGGCCGGCAGGGUACGUUGGGAAACCGACGUGCCUUCCAUUGCGAGAAGGAGAGUUGACUUGGUAUAU
rnacentral:ncRNA from 2 species